UACGUAGGGUGCGAGCGUUAAUCGGAAUUACUGGGCGUAAAGUGUGCGCAGGCGGCGCCGCAAGUCGAGUGUGAAAGCCCGGGGCUUAACCCCGGAAUUGCACCUCAAACUACACGGCUAGAGCAUUGGAGAGGGUAGCGGAAUUCACGGUGUAGCAGUGAAAUGCGUAGAUAUCGUGAGGAACACCAGAGGCGAAGGCGGCUACCUGGACAAUUGCUGACGCUCAGGCACGAAAGCGUGGGGAGCAAAAGGG
rnacentral:rRNA from 1 species